AUGGGAAGGAAGGAGGGGGUGGGGCAGGGGUCUCCUGGCUGCCCCCCCCGGAGCCCUCAGGGAGUGACCCUUCCCACAGCCCCCCCCCCCCGCAUUACUAGGUGGGCGCUGCGGUUCGCUGCCUUAGACAUGAAUGAUUCAUUGCUGAGGAGCCGGAGAUUGGGCCCGGGGCCUGUGAGAUCUGAGCCCUGCCAGGCACCAUCUGACACCUGGAAAGUAACACCGGCCGAGCCCCAGGAGAGGAGAGCAAGCGGGCAGCCACGUCCCCUUGGGCUUUCUGGGCUCGGGCUCUCUGCGCUCGGGGGCCGCGCGCUCAGAAACGCCUCUCGUUGCCUUCCGAUUUUAGUCAAAGCGACGUCUCUGUGCUGGGAGAGCGGAGAAAGGGCCGCGCCGCGUCCUCCUUGUCCACAAGAGGGAACUGAGACCUGGAGAGAAGCAGCCGCUCCUGAGGUCGUGGGGACGGCUCGUCUGGCCAGGUGGCGAUCGGCUGCGGCUGCCUCAGGCCGGGAGUCCUCCCGGAUCGGCGCUGGCGGUCAGAGCCCAGCGGUCUGGCCCAGCCUGAUGGGGGAGCCCGGGCCCUGGGGAUCAGAGGGAGCCUCCCGAGGCCAGGCCGUGGGGAUCAGAGGGAGCCCCCCGGAGGCUGGAGUAGGAGCAGAUGUUGCCCGAAGCAGCAGCUGCAGCCUCCGAGGGGCCGGGGCUCCAGGGCAGGCGACCUCCAGCCCAGGCAGCUCAGCUUGGGCAUCUUGGCACUUUCAGCCCCUCCGCAGGCACAAAGCGGGUCAGCUGUGGGACUGGGGGUUCACGCCCCUCUUGUCCUCCCUCCUCCUCCAUGGUCAGGGGGAGGCGGCCGAGCCUUUCCAGCGGGGAAGCAGCUUUCACAGCCUGGGCCUGCCUCAGUCCGAGGGGCCCCAGGCUGGAUCCCCUGGGCUCCAAAAAGCGGGCCGGGGGCCUGGAGGGGGGUUCUGCUGGGUCACAGGGGGACCCGGAGGCCCAGGAAGGCCGGGCUGGGCAGGACUCUGGGACACGGACCCCUGA
rnacentral:lncRNA from 1 species